rnacentral:rRNA from 1 species
GAUGAACGCUAGCGACAGGCCUAACACAUGCAAGUCGAGGGGUAGCAGGAUGUAGCAAUACAUUGCUGACGACCGGCGCACGGGUGAGUAACGCGUAUGCAACCUACCUACUACAUUGGGAUAGCCCGGCGAAAGUCGGAUUAAUACUGAAUGAUACAUGGUCACCGCAUGGUGGCAUUUGUUAAAGAUUAAUUGGUAGUAGAUGGGCAUGCGUUCCAUUAGCCAGUUGGUGAGGUAACGGCUCACCAAAGCAACGAUGGAUAGGGGAACUGAGAGGUUUAUCCCCCACACUGGUACUGGGACACGGACCAGACUCCUACGGGAGGCAGCAGUGAGGAAUAUUGGUCAAUGGACGCGAGUCUGAACCAGCCAAGUCGCGUGAAGGAUGAAGGUUCUAUGGAUUGUAAACUUCUUUUGUACAGGAUUAAAAUAGUCUACGAGUAGAUUUUUGCAAGUACUGUACGAAUAAGCAUCGGCUAACUCCGUGCCAGCCGCCGCGGUAAUAC